CUUUUACAAUGAAGAGUUUGAUCCUGGCUCAGGAUGAACGCUAGCUACAGGCUUAACACAUGCAAGUCGAGGGGCAGCAUUUUAGUUUGCUUGCAAACUAAAGAUGGCGACCGGCGCACGGGUGAGUAACACGUAUCCAACCUGCCGAUAACUCGGGGAUAGCCUUUCGAAAGAAAGAUUAAUAUCCGAUGGUAUAUUAAAACCGCAUGGUUUUACUAUUAAAGAAUUUCGGUUAUCGAUGGGGAUGCGUUCCAUUAGUUUGUUGGCGGGGUAACGGCCCACCAAGACUACGAUGGAUAGGGGUUCUGAGAGGAAGGUCCCCCACAUUGGAACUGAGACACGGUCCAAACUCCUACGGGAGGCAGC
rnacentral:rRNA from 2 species